rnacentral:rRNA from 1 species
UACGGAGGGUGCGAGCGUUGUCCGGAAUCACUGGGCGUAAAGGGCGCGUAGGCGGCUCGGUAAGUAGGGGGUGAAAUCCUGCGGCUUAACCGCAGGGCUGCCUUCUAAACUGUCGAGCUCGAGCACGGUAGAGGCAGAUGGAAUUCCCGGUGUAGCGGUGGAAUGCGUAGAGAUCGGGAAGAACAUCAGUGGCGAAGGCGGUCUGCUGGGCCGAUACUGACGCUGAGGAGCGAAAGCGUGGGGAGCGAACAGG